rnacentral:rRNA from 1 species
UACGGAGGGUGCAAGCGUUGCUCGGAAUUAUUGGGCGUAAAGGGUAGGUAGGUGGUCUCAUUUGUCUGGGGUGAAAGCCUUGAGCUUAACUCAAGAAGUGCCCCAGAAACGGUGAGACUAGAGUCUUGGAGAGGGUCGUGGAAUUCCCGGUGUAGCGGUGAAAUGCGUAGAGAUCGGGAGGAACACCAAAGGCGAAGGCGGCGACCUGGACAAGUACUGACACUCAACUACGAAAGCGUGGGGAGCAAACAGG